rnacentral:rRNA from 1 species
AGAGUUUGAUCCUGGCUCAGAGUGAACGCUGGCGGCGUGCCUAAUACAUGCAAGUCGAACGAUGAAGCUUCUAGCUUGCUAGAAGUGGAUUAGUGGCGCACGGGUGAGUAACGCAUAGGUCAUGUGCCUCUUAGUUUGGGAUAGCCAUUGGAAACGAUGAUUAAUACCAGAUACUCCCUACGGGGGAAAGAUUUAUCGCUAAGAGAUCAGCCUAUGUCCUAUCAGCUUGUUGGUAAGGUAAUGGCUUACCAAGGCUAUGACGGGUAUCCGGCCUGAGAGGGUGAACGGACACACUGGAACUGAGACACGGUCCAGACUCCUACGGGAGGCAGCAGUAGGGAAUAUUGCUCAAUGGGGGAAACCCUGAAGCAGCAACGCCGCGUGGAGGAUGAAGGUUUUAGGAUUGUAAACUCCUUUUGUUAGAGAAGAUAAUGACGGUAUCUAACGAAUAAGCACCGGCUAACUCCGUGCCAGCAGCCGCGGUAAUACGGAGGGUGCAAGCGUUACUCGGAAUCACUGGGCGUAAAGAGCGCGUAGGCGGGAUAGUCAGUCAGGUGUGAAAUCCUAUGGCUUAACCAUAGAACUGCAUUUGAAACUACUAUUCUAGAGUGUGGGAGAGGUAGGUGGAAUUCUUGGUGUAGGGGUAAAAUCCGUAGAGAUCAAGAGGAAUACUCAUUGCGAAGGCGACCUGCUGGAACAUUACUGACGCUGAUUGCGCGAAAGCGUGGGGAGCAAACAGGAUUAGAUACCCUGGUAGUCCACGCCCUAAACGAUGGAUGCUAGUUGUUGGAGGGCUUAGUCUCUCCAGUAAUGCAGCUAACGCAUUAAGCAUCCCGCCUGGGGAGUACGGUCGCAAGAUUAAAACUCAAAGGAAUAGACGGGGACCCGCACAAGCGGUGGAGCAUGUGGUUUAAUUCGAAGAUACACGAAGAACCUUACCUAGGCUUGACAUUGAGAGAAUCCGCUAGAAAUAGUGGAGUGUCUAGCUUGCUAGACCUUGAAAACAGGUGCUGCACGGCUGUCGUCAGCUCGUGUCGUGAGAUGUUGGGUUAAGUCCCGCAACGAGCGCAACCCCCUUUCUUAGUUGCUAACAGGUCAUGCUGAGAACUCUAAGGAUACUGCCUCCGUAAGGAGGAGGAAGGUGGGGACGACGUCAAGUCAUCAUGGCCCUUACGCCUAGGGCUACACACGUGCUACAAUGGGGUGCACAAAGAGAAGCAAUACUGCGAAGUGGAGCCAAUCUUCAAAACGCCUCUCAGUUCGGAUUGUAGGCUGCAACUCGCCUGCAUGAAGCUGGAAUCGCUAGUAAUCGCAAAUCAGCCAUGUUGCGGUGAAUACGUUCCCGGGUCUUGUACUCACCGCCCGUCACACCAUGGGAGUUGUGUUUGCCUUAAGUCAGGAUGCUAAACUAGCUACUGCCCACGGCACACACAGCGACUGGGGUGAAGUCGUAACAAGGUAACCGUAGGUGAAC